UACGUAGGUGGCAAGCGUUGUCCGGAUUUACUGGGCGUAAAGAGCGCGCAGGCGGUCGUCCAAGUCGCGUGUGAAAGCCCCCGGCUCAACUGGGGGAGGGUCACGCGAUACUGGUCGACUCGAAGGCAGGAGAGGGUAGUGGAAUUCCCGGUGUAGUGGUGAAAUGCGUAGAUAUCGGGGAGGAACACCAGUGGCGAAGGCGGUGGUCUGGGCCAUUACUGACGCUGAGGAGCGAAAGCCAGGGGGAGCGGAACGGG
rnacentral:rRNA from 1 species